rnacentral:rRNA from 1 species
UACGACGGGUACGGGUUGUGAGAGCAAGAGCCCGGAGAUGGAUUCUGAGACACGAAUCCAGGCCCUACGGGGUGCAGCAGGCGCGAAAACUUUACAAUGCUGGCAACAGCGAUAAGGGAACCUCGAGUGCCAGGUUACAAAUCUGGCUGUCGAGAUGCCUAAAAAGCAUUUCAUAGCAAGGGCCGGGCAAGACCGGUGCCAGCCGCCGCGGUAACACCGGCGGCUCGAGUGGUAACCGUUAUUAUUGGGUCUAAAGGGUCUGUAGCCGGCCGGAUAAGUCUCUUGAGAAAUCUGGCAGCUUAACUGUCAGGCUUUCAGGAGAUACUGUCUGGCUCGAGGCCGGGAGAGGUGAGAGGUACUUCAGGGGUAGGGGUGAAAUCUUGUAAUCCUUGAAGGACCACCAGUGGCGAAGGCGUCUCACCAGAACGGACCUGACGGCAAGGGACGAAAGCUAGGGGCACGAACCGGAUUAGAUACCCGGGUAGUCCUAGCCGUAAACGAUACUCGCUAGGUGUCGGCCACGGUGCGACCGUUGUCGGUGCCGUAGGGAAGCC